rnacentral:rRNA from 1 species
CUACGGGCCGCUCCAGUGAGGAAUAUUGCACAAUGGGGGGGACCCUGAUGCAGCAACGCCGCGUGGAGGAUGACGCAUUUCGGUGUGUAAACUCCUUUUAUAUGUCAAGAAAAUGACGGUAGCAUAUGAAUAAGCACCGGCUAACUCCGUGCCAGCAGCCGCGGUAAUACGGAGGGUGCGAGCGUUACUCGGAAUCACUGGGCGUAAAGGACGCGUAGGCGGGUUGGAAAGUCAGGUGUGAAAUCCUACAGCUUAACUGUAGAACUGCACUUGAAACUUCUAAUCUAGAGUAUGGGAGGGGGAGAUGGAAUUAGUGGUGUAGGGGUAAAAUCCGUAGAUAUCACUAGGAAUACCUAAAGCGAAGGCGAUCUCCUGGAACAUUACUGACGCUAAGGCGUGAAAGCGUGGGGAGCAAACAGGAUUAGAUACCCUUGUAGUC